rfam:Fusibacter sp. 3D3 DNA, contig: 99.
UGUAAAAAUGAAUGUAAACCGUAGACAGUAGGUGCUUAUGCUUAAUUUCCUACCGAGGUAAGGAUAAAUAGUUUAUUUCGAUAAAUUAUAGCCUCUCUUGUCUACGGAAGAGAGGCUUUUUAUUUAAUAUU